AGGAUUAACGCUGGCGGCGUGCCUAACACAUGCAAGUCGAACGAGAGUAGCAAUACUCUAGUGGCAGACGGGUGAGUAACGCGUGGUCAACCUUCCCUUUAGUGGGGGAUAACUAGCCGAAAGGUUAGCUAAUACCGCAUACGAUCUAUGAGUGGCAUCAUUUAUAGAUGAAAGAAGCAAUUCGCUUAAGGACGGGACCGCGUCCCAUUAGUUAGUUGGUGGGGUAACGGCCUACCAAGACUCCGAUGGGUAGCUGGUUUGAGAGAGCGACCAGCCACACUGGGACUGAGAAACGGCCCAGACUCCUACGGGAGGCAGCAGUGAGGAAUUUUCCGCAAUGGGCGAAAGCCUGACGGAGCGACGCCGCGUGUGGGAAGAAGGCCUUCGGGUCGUAAACCACUGUCGAAGGGGAAGAUAUUGACGGUACCCUUGGAGGAAGCCCCGGCUAACUACGCGCCAGCAGCCGC
rnacentral:rRNA from 1 species